ensembl:lncRNA
CACACUGCUGUGUGGAAAACACACUCAGACCUCUGGGCAUUUAGAUACCCAAGUCCUGGAAGCAAAAAUUAACUGGUAGAUGCUGUUGGAAAAACCACUGCCUGCAGUUUGAGUGGAAUUUUUUCAUUUGAUCCUAAGUUAUUUUCCAUGUGAGGAAGGACAGGACAAUAAAUUCUGUGCAAAUUGAAUUUACAAAUCUCCUGAAUAAGGAAAAUGCUUCAGAAAUCAUUAUUUGAUGUUUUGAUACAGCAACAGAUAGUCAUUUCUAGGAAAAUUGUCCAAAAUGUACAGUAAUACUUCCCCCUGGCUCAUAUUAUAAUCAAAGCAGCACAGAGUAGCAACGUCACAAGAGACUUUGCUUCCCCACAAGCAGGGCAACUAACAAUUCUUCACAGACAAAAUGCCACCAUGAAAACCCUAGAACAGAGGAGGGUGGUGAGGCUGAAGAGCCUCUUGGACCAGACCCCAGAUGAACAGCAUAAGCAAUAUGAGUGGACCAAAGGAUUAUCCUACUAAGUGAGGUUAGGAUGUAAGUCUCACAUAACCACAGGAUUCCUCAGAGUGACCAUGCUGCUCUUCAGAGUGCUAGCAGGCUAGCACUCAUCACUGAGAAUGAUGGAGCGCCUUCCACACGUCACACCACACCCCCAGAAAAUACAGGCAUCUUUAAAUCUUGUAUGCAAGGCUCUAUUCUCACCACUGUUUGGAAUGCUUGGUAGAGACAUCCAUGAAUGCUGCCUUGAGGUCAAAGAGGCCUCGUCCAAUCAGUGACAGUAAAUGGAGUGACAGCACAUGUGACAGUGAUGCCCCAGGGGAGGGGCUCUGGCAGCAACUUUAAUCGGGUGAAUGAUUAGACAGUGGCCAACUGACUGAAGACGGCAGAGAAGACAGACCAAGAGAGCUGGCUCAGUGCUUAGGACACACUGAGAAACUGAAAGAGGAACAAAAGACGUGAGAAAGAAGCCAUCAUGUUUACAGACGUUUCAGUGAAAAGUGAUUCAACUUUUGCCUUGGCACAUGCACACUGAGGUCUACGGAAGGGGUGUUCAAGGGGGACCUGCUGUACAGCACAGGGAACUCUACCUGAUAUUCUGUGAUAACCUGUGUGGGAAAAGAAUCCGAGACAGAAAGAAUGUGUAUACAUGUAUGACUGGGUCACUCUGUUGCACAGCAGAAAUGAUCACAACAUUGUAAGUCAACUAUACUUCAAUAAAGAUUUAAAAAAUAGCUAGAUUUCAGCCAACUCAUCUAUGACAAAGGAGGCAAGAAUAUACAAUGGAGAAAGGACAGCUUGUUCAAUAAGCGGUGCUGGGAAAACUGGACAGCCACAUGGAAAAGAAUGAAACACUCCCUAAAACCAUACACAAAAAUAAACUCGAAAUGGAUUAAAGACCUAGAUAUAAGACCAGACACUAUCAAACUCUUAGAGGAAAACAUAGGCCAAACACUCUGACAUAAACGACAGCAACAUCUUCUCAGAUCCACCUCUUAGAGUAUUGACAAUAAAAAGAAAAAUAAACAAAUGGGACCUAAUCAAACUUAAGUUUCUGCACAGCAAAGGAAACCCUAAACAACACGAAAAGACAACCCACAGAAUGGGAGAAAAUCUUUGCAAAUGAAUCAACGGACAAGGGAUUAUAUACACCUUCUGCAGCUCCAUACCAAAACAAACAAACAAAACAAACAAAACAACUCCAUCAAAAAAUGGGCAGACGAUCUAAACAGACAUUUAUCCAUAGAAGACAUACAGAUGGCCAAAAAACACAUGAAAAGAUGUUCAAACACAUGAACAUUGGUUUGCAUUAUUAAAGAGAUGCAAAUCAAAACUACUAUGAGGUACCACCUUACACCAGCCAGAAUGGCCAUCAUCAAAACGUCUACAAACAGCAAGUGCUGGAGAGGUUGUGGAGAAAAAGGAACACUAUCACACUGUUGGUGGGAUUGUAAAUUGGUGCAACCACUGUGGAAAACAGUAUGGAGAUAGAGGAGUGGACCAAAAAGAUGUGGUACAUAUACACAAUGGAACAUUACUCAGCCAUUAAAAGGAAUGAAAAUACCAGCAUUUUAAGCAACAUGGAUGGACCUAAAAAUUAUGCUGAAUCAAGUCAGCCAUACAAUGAGACAACAUCAAAUGCUUUCACUGACAUGUGGAAUGUGAAAAAAGGACAGAAUGAACUUCUUUGCAGAACAGAUGCUGACUCACAGACUUUGAAAAAUGUAUGGUUUCCAAAGGAGACAGUUUGUGGGGUGGGGGGAUGUGCUGGGGUUGUGGGAUGGAAAUCCUGUGAAAUUUGAUUGUGAUGAUCAUUAUACAACUACAGAUGUGAUAAAUUCAUUGAGUAAAUUAAAAAAAAAAAGGACAAUAUGAAUUAGAGACUAUCCCUCUGUCUAAACUGCCAAAUGGGGCAGAGUGUACCUUAAAGUGUCUCCCCUUCCAUUGUCUUUCUUGGGGACUAUUGAUUAGAUCUGUUUGGUUUAGCAGUCAGGGGCAAAAAAAUUUAUCCAGUAGAUUUAUGGAAAGAUUCUUUGCAAUUGAAAAUUUCUCCAAUAUUUGUGUAUGUAUAUAUAUAUAUGUGUACAUGUGUAUAUAUUUGUGUGUAUGUAUGCGUGUGUGUGUGUGUGUGUGUAUAUAUAUAUAUAAUUUCUACUUUCUUCUUUUCCUUUAAGUAAUUGCUCUUUGGUUUCCCAUCUUAGUCUGUCUUCCCCCAGAAGCAACUACUGAGAGAGGAUGUGAGUAUGAAUCAUUAACUGUGAACAGAUCUCAGCAACCAAAGCUAAGGGAGUGGGAAAAUGAGAAAUAAGGGAACCUGCUAACAGCAUGUGAUUGUCUGCACUAGGUGAAGGUGCUCCUGGCCCCAAUGGGGACUCUGGGACAGACUAGAGAUGGUUCCGGGGAUUAUUCCCAGGGAGGCAUGGAGCUGGCAUUAGAGGCUGAGUCUUCAGCCAGCCCUUUUGGAAGCCUUCUUCCAGGGCACUAACUCUGAGGCAAGUCCAUGCUGCCUCCCUGGUGCUGAGCUUGCUCCUGCCAGCCGGAAGGGCCCUUGAGCAGAGACCUGCAGGCAUGCCAGAAAGCACCCAUGUACAGGUGUGCACUGAGGGCAGGUGGGUGGGUCACAAACAGUGAUAUCCAUACCUUCCUUAGAGAACAUAAGUCCAGAUUGUGUUCUGCAGACUCUCAUGGAUCCAUACUGUUUUGCUAAUGUCAUUUACUUGAUCUGUUUUUAAAAACUACGUCUCCUGACACCAUUUAGAGUUUCUGUGAAUGAUUAUUUGUGAUUUUUACUUUGAAGAAAAAAUUUGUUGGAGGAGCUAGCUAGACCUACAUGAGGACUCCAACCAGAAAGAACCACUCAAGAAGGGUGUCUGUAAGGAUUUCAUAGCUAUUUCUGUCAGCCCUGUUGAUAUCACAUUGCACCUUGGGGCUGAUGGCAAAGAACCAGCUGAAUGCACCACCCACCUCUCCCAGGAAACCAUCUGCAAAGGCUGCAGUUCACCUGUGUGCACGUUACCAUAUGUCCUCACGUACUGUAGUUUCCAGUCCUUGCCACUGACAUGACAACCUCUCAAUGAAUUUGCUAGUUGGUUCUGGAACACUCAAGUGUGUGAAAUGGCUUGUAGGAAAAUGCUCAGAGUUCUUUUCACCCAUGCUAUGGUGACACAUGGUGACCAUAUAAACUAAUAAAAAUUAUCAUAUGUACUGAUAUGAUGGGAAAAAGGACAUAUGACAAUCUUUCUGAAUUUGAAAGAAUGUGAAGAACUAAAAAACUCCCCUGUCAAAUCAGAUUUAAGCAAGAGAAAGAGACUGAUGUUCAAGAAAAAGAGUUCUAGUCCAGCCUGUUCAUUUUUAAGAUUUUGAUUAUAUAAAUGGAUAUUUACAGGUGCACUUAUCUGAAAAGAAGAAACUAUCUUAAGUUAAAUAAAAAGGUUAAGAUCACUUCUGUGUUAGCAUUUCCCCCCCUGCAUUGGCAUUUUAAAUCACAUUUAUGAAGGUAUAAUUUAUGUUUAAAUUGUACCUAAUUUGAGUAUACAAUUCUAUGAGUUAUGACAUAUUUAUACAGCCUCAUAUCUACCACUCAAACAACAUAUAGAGCUUUAUUACCAUCAAAGAACAGCCCCUUCUGACCUUUGGUGGUCAAUUCAGUCUCUUUGCCAAGAAACCAGAGGUCAGAUUUCUAUCACUUUGAAUUAUUUUGCUCUUUCUUGAACUUCAUACAAAAGGAAUCAUCAUAAUGGGCCUUUUGUGUCUUGCUUAUUUUGCUCAGCAUCAUGCCUUUGAGAUUCAUUCCUUUGACUGUGUCAAUAGUGUGUUCCUUUUUAUAGCUGAAUAAUACUCCUUGGCAUAAAAAUAAAUCAGUUCCUUCCUUCGGACC